rnacentral:rRNA from 1 species
CCUACGCGUGGCAGCAGUGGGGAAUAUUGCACAAUGGGGGAAACCCUGAUGCAGCGACGCCGCGUGAGUGAAGAAGUAUUUCGGUACGUAAAGCUCUAUCAGCAGGGAAGAAAAUGACGGUACCUGACUAAGAAGCCCCGGCUAACUACGUGCCAGCAGCCGCGGUAAUACGUAGGGGGCAAGCGUUAUCCGGAUUUACUGGGUGUAAAGGGAGCGUAGGCGGGCGUUCAAGUCAGCUGUAAAAUCGCGCGGCUCAACCGCGCCCCGCAGUGGAAACUGGACGCCUUGAGUUCACGACAGGCAGGCGGAAUUCGUGGUGUAGCGGUGAAAUGCAUAGAUAUCACGAGGAACCCCGAUUGCGAAGGCAGCCUGCCGGGGUGCGACUGACGCUGAGGCUCGAAGGUGCGGGUAUCAAACAGGAUUAGAUACCCUUGUAGUC